GGGGGUGUCACGGUUUCGACGGGGGUACAGAGGGCAGGAGUGGCGUGUCGCGGGGGUCGACCAACCGUGUCAAAAAGUGGACGACGAAACACAGCUGCCAACGACAGCAACUACGGCCGCCUGGCCGCCGUCGCCUGAUGGUGACGCACCCUCGCUCGAGGAGCCCGAGUAGGGCGUGGGUGUCAAUACACGGGCUAGCUGCAGUGAGUGCCUCGACGCUGCGGUGAAGCUCUGAGGCUGGGGAGAAGGAUCGCGCGUCGGUGCGCGUGCCAAUCCCGAGAUCAAGUCCGCCGACUACGCACGUAGAAGCCCUGCUCGAAGGCUUCCGGACCCGGGUUCGACUCCCGGCGCCUCCACUG
rnacentral:tmRNA from 1 species